AAAAGCCUCUGAACAAAGUUUCAGAGGCUUUUUUUUCUGAAGCUCUGUUUCGGAGGCUUUCAGAGGCAGAAAAAAAAAGCAACAGCUGAUUGGGGGUAUCCCGGGAGGCCGAUCCACCCGCCAGUCAGCUUUUUUCUUCUUUCCCUCCCCAAAAACUAAGAUGCGUCUUAUACUCCCAAAAAUACGGUGUAUCCGUUGAACUCAUGGCAAGCUGUUAGCCCACACUUCCAGGGAGCGUCAGGAUGGAGAAAAUUGCUUUUGACGAAGCCCCGUGGAUUAAUUUAGCCGCUUCAAAGUGAGGCUCUAUGGGUGCUCUGGGCCUCCCCAAAAGCCCCUCUGGCUGGAAAUUCCAGAAAUUGGUGUCCCAACAGGAAAGUCCUCAGGUUGUGAAAGCUUAGAUGUGCAUAGAGGUAAGGUAAAAGUGCCUCUUCUUUUCACUCGGUGUGUAUGUGUGACUGUGCCAUUUCCAAUCCACGAUGUUACCCGCUAAUUCCAGGCAGUCCUAGACUUACAAACAUCCAAAGUUACAACAGCAACAGAAAAAAAACCACUUACCGUCUUAAAAGCAACCUUUAAUUGGGUGGAUUGCCGACUCUCAGGCUUACGACCGUUUUUUUCACGUUGAUGUCCAUUGCAGCAUUAACCCAGAGUCACGUGAUCGAAAUUUGGACACUGGGCAACCAAGCCUGUAUUUAUGACUGUUGCACCGUUCUGGGGGUCCCAUGGUCGCCGCUUGUGACCUUCCCAUCCAUCUUCCGACAAGCAAAGAGGGGAAAGUUGGAUUCACUUAACGACCACCCGAUUCAUUUAACGGCCACAGCGAUUUGCUUAAUAUCGGUGGCCAAAAUGGUUGUGAAAUGACGUGCCAACUCACAACCGUUGCCGUACUUUGGGGCUCAGUUGUGGUUGUAAGUCAAGGACUGCCUGCAAAGGCCUUGCUCAGUUAGUACAUUCGCCUACUCAUGCCAGGCUCCAAAUCCUACCUCCAAAUCUUCCUCCAACUCUUAAUUUGCAAAGAAGUUGGACACCCCUCGUAUAAGGGAUGCUUUGCAGAUCUUUUAAUCUCUAACCACUCCAGCUGCUAAAUUCCAGCUUUUCCUCCUGGGAAUUUUCCUAGCUGUGCUCCGUGGGAUGUUCAGAGCAAGCAAGCUGGUUACUCAUCCAAUCUACCUUUUUUUUUUUUUUUGCUAGUAUUUUGCCAGGUCUGCCUUCCAGGAACAAUUAGCUACGAUUAGACGAACUUUUACAAGCUGCCUAAUCCUUCGCUUUCUUGGCCAAAGAGCCAUCAAUCUUCUAGAGCUGCUCUUAUUUAUUUUUAUUUUUAUUUUUAAAAAAAGCGGUGGUGGUUGUACAUUAUUCAGCGGCCGGCUUCUCGGCAAGUCUUCCGUUUGGAAUCGUGCAACGUUACACCUAGCAUGAGAAGAGUUUCCUCCUGAAAUCCCAGCCCCUUAAUGUGGUGGGAAGAAUAUACAUUGCACUGAAUUUAUGCUGAAACAGCACAAAGUAUAUAUAUAUAAUGUUAAUCACAUGCCUUAACAAUACACCGGUGUUAAUUUUUUUUUUAAAGCGAAAUGCACUACUUAACAUGGAGGUAUUAAAUUCUUCUCUUUGGCCUCACUAAAUUGCUAUUUCUAUUCCUGGGCUGAAAGAGUUGGAUUUUGGAGGCUUGCUAAUUUCUCCUUACGUCCCCUCCGUCCCCAAAAACAGUUACUCUUAAGACAAGACGAAAUAUUGCAUAUCUUUUUAUCAUUUCGACCCCCUAAUUUACUACUAAAAUACCAGACGUUAAGCCCUGGAAUCAAUACUAGGAAGAAUGCAGCUAGUCCUCGACUUACAACCAUUAAUUUAAAGCAGGCGUCACCAACCUUUCAGACUUCGGGGACCACUAAAUUCAUAAUUUUAAAUCCCAUGGACCAGUAAUAUGUCUUUUUUAAAAAAGAUAAAUGGUAUUUAGUGCAAUAUAAAAAAAUGCAAAUAAUUUUUCUGCAGACCACCAAAAUUUUCCCAAAGGCCACCCGUGGUCCACGGGCCACUGGUUGGUGACACUGAUUUAGAGACCGUCCGAAGUUAUGACGGUCCUGAAAAGUGACUGAUGACCGUUUUUCACACUUAACGACCGUUACAGCAUCCUCGCGGUCCCGUGAUCAAAAUACAGACCAGGCUUGGCCACUGACUCAUAUUUAUGACGGUCCCGGGGUCACGCGAUCCCCUUUUAUGACCUUCUGAUGAGGAAAGUCAACGGGGGGGAGCCAGAUUCGCUUAACAACCGCGCGUGACUCGCUUAAACAGCCCCAGCGAUUCGCUUAACAAACGCGGCAAGAAAAGUCGCGUAAAACGGGGCAAAAAACUCACUUAACAACCGUCUUGCUUUAGCAACCGAAAUCGUGGGCUCAAUUUUGGUUGUAAGUCGAGGACUACCUGUACGAUGUUGUAUGCCAUAACAAUGCAUUAGUGUGCGUGUUUUUUUUAAAUAAAAAUAAAAAUAAAAUGCACUACUUAGCUGGGAAGUAUGAAAUUCUUCUAUCUGGCCUCACUAAAUUGUCAUUUGCAUUCCUUGAGAGAAAGGGUUCAGUUUUUGAAGCUUGCCAAUUUCUCCCUACAACUAUUCUGCCCCCCCCCCAAAUUCUUAAAGACAAGAGGAAAUAUUGCUUAUCUUCUAUAAUUUGGACACCCCUCUCUAAUUUGCUCUCAAAUAUCAGACCCUGGGAUGGCCUAGCUAGGAAGGGUACAGACUUAACGACCGUUCAAAGUUAAAGCGGCACUGAAAAAGUUAUUUUUGACCGCUUUUCACACUUAACGGCCGUUUUAGCAUUCCCCCAUGGUCACGUGAUCAAAACUGAAAUGCUUGGCAACUGGCAUGUACUUAUGACGGUUGCGUUGUGUUCUGUUGAUUCACCUUUUUGGGACUUUCUGACUUGGCCAAGUCAAAUGGGGAAGACCGAUUCAUUUAACGACCGUGAACAAAACGUACCCCAAAUUUGAAAUUUGCUGGGUGAAUCGAAAAGAAGGGCUCGCGAUUUCUGGGAAUUGGUUUUGCAAAAUUGGAUCCUUCCCCCCCUUUUGAGUGUGAUUCAUUAUUAUUAUUAUUUUUUAAUUAGCCGAAUCCCAGCCCUUCCAGGUAGGCCAAGUCAGGAAAACAACAAGUGAUGUGGCUACAGUGACCUGAUCUUAAAAUAUUUUCUUUCCUUCCUCGUAUAUACAAAGGAAAAUCAAGGCCCUGCAAUCUUGAGUUUCUUUCUAAUGUCCUCUUUUUAUCCUGGCCUUAAAUCAUGUUUUGCUAACUGGCUACAGUUCUUCUCCCAACAUCAAAAUUUGAUCGUUGGGUCCCUGCUAAGGUAUAAUCGUUUGAUUGGAUGAGAGGGAAAAUCCAAUCAAUUGUGGCUGAUGCAAUAAACCAUGGUUAAACUAACCACAAUCUAGCUUCCCUUCUUCCCCUGCCCUUGUUUAACACGGCUCCUUACUUCCAAAACUUUUUUGAGAAUCUGUUCGGUACCUAGCAUUACUCCACUGGAUUCCUUUCAGUGGUGUUUCAUUAAAAUAAUGUCAGCAGCAACAACAAAUUAUUUGAGAAUCGGGGGAAAAAGUAUCUUGCAGAUGCUUUAAACCAAGAUGGAACAUCUCGGCUUACAAAGACCGCAGAGAUUGGAGCCUGGUUCAUUUGUUUGGCUGAAUUGCUUACAUUGCUCCGUGUUCCCUCCGUACUUAACUCCAAAUGUUUAAGGAUUCUGCACCUAGGAGUACCAAGCUGCAGUUGGAAAUCAAGAACAUUUGACUAUUUGGUAUUAUGGUUUUGGUGGAAACCUGACUACAUUUCCUGGGUGGCCAUCAGACCAUAAAAAACACCAAGGAGCUCCAAGAUCCGUGAUGGCGAAUCUAUGGCACGCGUGCCACAAGUGACACGUGGAGCCAUAUCUGUGGUCACGCAAGCCUCGCCCUAGCUCAGCUCCAGCACGCAUGUGCGUGCCGGCCACCUGAUUUUUGGCUGUUCCGGGCCCACUGGAAGUUGGGAAACAGGCCGUUUCCGGCCUCCAGAGGUCCUCUUGGGGAUGGGGAAGGCAGUUUUCGCCCUCCCCAGCCUCCAAGAAAGUCUCUGGAGCCUGGGGAGGGCGAAAAACGGGCCUACCAGGCCCACCGUGCCAUCAUGUGCCAAAAGCGCGGGGGGGGGAGCGCAUGCAUGCACACACAGGGGCGGGGUGUAUUAUGGGUGUGGGCAUGCACGCACGCAAACCCCCCAUGUUCCCCCCAUUUUUGGCCCACAACGGCCAAAAGCUUAGCCAUCACUGUCUUAGACAGGCCUGAAUUCAGUGUUUCUCAACCUCAGAACUUGAAGCUGGGUGGACUUCAACUCCCAGAAUUCCCAUUUUUGCCCACUAGAGGCGGAUCUCCCGCCUCACCAUCAGGAGGCCGUGAGUUCGAUCCUAGGUAGAGGCGGAUAUUUGUCUCUCUCUCUCUCUCUGGGCCACACUGAGAAUCUAUCUGCUGAACAAAACUCCACUCUGGAACAGGAAGGGCAUCCGGCCAAUAAAACACUCUGCUAGCUUCAGUCAGUGGCCCAGACUCCCCCCCCCACCGCAAGGGAUUAUGGGGUCGUUAAACGGAGAUGAUGAUGACAUGUAAAAGAUGAAAUAGAAAAAAAUGUUCCUCGGUGCUCCACUUGGUUCUGCCAGAUGUUCUCCGAGGCCCCAACCAGAUGUUCAGAGAAAGACUUCACCUAUGCAGCCUUGACCCUUGGCUCCUGCGAUGAGGCAGACCCUCCAAACCCGGUUAAAUAUAUCCUUGCCUGUUUCUGUUUAAUUCGAAUUUCAUUUCUAAGCUUCUAAAUUGUAACCUGUCUCGGAGGACACUUAACUACCUUCUAACUAGCAUUAUUUUGGGGGGGGAAACUUUAAUGCACUGAUUCUGAAAUGCUUUACUUUGAAAUGUUGAGUGUGGACUCAGCCUGCCAAAAGGAAUAAGUGAUAUCUUUUUAUAUUAUUAUUAUUAUUAUUAUUGUUAUUAUUAUGGAAAGCAACCAAACCAAAUGGUUUUGAUUUAAUCUAGGGUUGGGGAUUUUUUUUUUGUUUUUCUUCUCCUAUUUUACAGGUAAAUUUACCGCGGCUGAAUUAUGGAAACAGCCGCUAACUGUAUAUAAAGACCAAUGUAAUAAAUAACGUCGAAGCAUUUUGAUAUCUAUUGAAAUACGUCUAAUGGGGUUCGUUUGUCUCACCCGUAUCUCUAGAUAACAAGAUACAUAAAGGCAAUCUAUAAUGGCUUAUUGAAGAAUAAUGUAUUUAAUCCAUUUAUUCUUAAAGCACUAAUUAAUGAAUUUAUAGCUAAUCCAUACCAUUAAAGGACUUUUGUUUUGUAAUUAAAA